GGGCCCGCACAAGCGGUGGAGCAUGUGGUUUAAUUCGAUGAUACGCGAGGAACCUUACCAGGACUUAAAUGUAAGUUGCAUGAUUCAGAAAUGAAUCUUUCUUCGGACUACUUACAAGGUGCUGCAUGGUUGUCGUCAGCUCGUGCCGUGAGGUGUCAGGUUAAGUCCUAUAACGAGCGCAACCCCUAUCGUUAGUUGCCAUCAAGUAAAGUUGGGAACUCUAGCGAAACUGCCGGUGCAAACCGAGAGGAAGGUGGGGAUGACGUCAAAUCAUCACGGCCCUUACGUUCUGGGCUACACACGUGCUACAAUGGUCGGUACAGAAAGCAGCCAAUGCGCGAGCAUGAGCA
rnacentral:rRNA from 1 species